rnacentral:rRNA from 1 species
ACAAACGCUGGCGGCAUGCUUCAUACACUGCAAGUCGAACGUGAAAGACUUCGGGUCGAGUAAAGUGGCGCACGGGUGAGUAACGCGUAGAUAAUCUGCCCCGCUGUCUGGGAUAACCUUUCGAAAGGGAGGCUAAUACCGGAUAACACGAUUUCUUUUAAGGGAGUCGUUGAAAGUUGCGGCGCAACGGGAUGAGUCUGCGUCCCAUUAGCUAGUUGGUGGGGUAAAGGCCUACCAAGGGCGACGAUGGGUAGCGGGUUUGAGAGGACGAUCCGCCACACUGGAACUGAGACACGGUCCAGACUCCUACGGGAGGCAGCAGUAGGGAAUUUUGCGCAAUGGGCGAAAGCCUGACGCAGCAAUGCCGCGUGAGUGAAGAAGGCCCUCGGGUCGUAAAGCUCUUUAUCUUCGGGAAGAUGAUGACGGUACCGAAGGAAGAAGCACCGGCUAACUACGUGCCAGCAGCCGCGGUAAUACGUAGGUGCAAGCGUUGUUCGGAAUCACUGGG